AUUGAACGCUGGCGGCAGGCCUAACACAUGCAAGUCGAACGGUAACAGGAAGAAGCUUGCCUCUUUGCUGACGAGUGGCGGACGGGUGAGUCAUGUCUGGGAAACUGCCUGAUGGAGGGGGAUAACUACUGGAAACGGUAGCUAAUACCGCAUAACGUCGCAAGACCAAAAAGGGGGACCUUCGGGCCUCUUGCCAUCGGAUGUGCCCAGAUGGGAUUAGCUAGUAGGUGGGGUAACGGCUCACCUAGGCGACGAUCCCUAGCUGGUCUGAGAGGAUGACCAGCCACACUGGAACUGAGACACGGUCCAGACUCCUACGGGAGGCAGCAGUGGGGAAUAUUGCACAAUGGGCGCAAGCCUGAUGCAGCCAUGCCGCGUGUAUGAAGAAGGCCUUCGGGUUGUAAAGUACUUUCAGCGGGGAGGAAGGGAGUAAAGUUAAUACCUUUGCUCAUUGACGUUACCCGCAGAAGAAGCACCGGCUAACUCCGUG
rnacentral:rRNA from 1 species